rnacentral:rRNA from 1 species
UGCAGUCGAGGGGCAUCACGUGUAGCAAUACAUGGUGGCGACCGGCGGAAGGGUGCGUAACGCGUGAGCAACAUGCCCGUAUCAGGGGGAUAAACCAGGGAAACUUGGUCUAAUACCGCAUAAUAAGUUUCUAAGGCAUCUUAGGGAUUUUAAAGUUUUGGUGGAUACGGAUUGGCUCGCGUGACAUUAGCUAGAUGGUAAGGUAACGGCUUACCAUGGCAACGAUGUCUAGGGGUUCUGAGAGGAAGAUCCCCCACACUGGAACUGAGACACGGUCCAGACUCCUACGGGAGGCAGCAGUGAGGAAUAUUGGACAAUGGAUGGAAAUCUGAUCCAGCCAUGCCGCGUGCAGGAAGACAGCCCUAUGGGUUUUAAACUGCUUUUAUACGGGAGCAAUAAGGACUAUGCGUAGUUUGAUGAGAGUACCGUACGAAUAAGCACCGGCUAACUCCGUGCCAGCAGCCGCGGUAAUACGGAGGGUGCAAGCGUUAUCCGGAUUUAUUGGGUUUAAAGGGUGCGUAGGCGGUUUUAUAAGUCAGCGGUGAAAUUUUUCAGCUUAACUGGAACAAUGCCGUUGAUACUGUAAAGCUGGAAUAUGGUUGCUGUGGGUGGAAUGUGUGGUGUAGCGGUGAAAUGCUUUAGAUAUCACACA